GGUGGUGUGGUGUAAUGGUAGCACGUCACGUUGUGGUUUUCCCUUGCUCGUACAGGACUUUCAUAUUAGCCCGUGAUAAUCGGGGUUCGAUUCCCUGCACCGCCA